AAGGUGCCUGGCUGUAAUACAGCCGGAUUAAACGGGAAGCCAGCCAAUCUGGUGCUGCCCCCGCAACGGUAAUUGAGUUAAGCCAGUACAAAUACCACUGUGCGUUGUCAUGGGAAGGUGCACUGGCCGCAGCGUUGUUUCAACAGCUGCGCUCAUCAGCCCGGAGACCGGCCUUAAGCA
rnacentral:ncRNA from 1 species